rnacentral:rRNA from 1 species
GACGAACGCUGGCGGCGUGCUUAACACAUGCAAGUCGAACGAUGAUGCCAGCUUGCUGGUGGAUUAGUGGCGAACGGGUGAGUAACACGUGAGCAACCUGCCCCUGACUUCGGGAUAACCGCGGGAAACCGUGGCUAAUACCGGAUAUGACGCGCUAUCGCAUGGUGGUGUGUGGAAAGAUUUAUCGGUUGGGGAUGGGCUCGCGGCCUAUCAGCUUGUUGGUGGGGUGAUGGCCUACCAAGGCGACGACGGGUAGCCGGCCUGAGAGGGUGACCGGCCACACUGGGACUGAGACACGGCCCAGACUCCUACGGGAGGCAGCAGUGGGGAAUAUUGCACAAUGGGCGCAAGCCUGAUGCAGCGACGCCGCGUGAGGGAUGACGGCCUUCGGGUUGUAAACCUCUUUCAGUAGGGAAGAAGGCCUUCUGGUUGACGGUACCUGCAGAAGAAGCGCCGGCUAACUACGUG